AGAGGCUGGGGAGCUGGUUGUGGUUUCCUGCGUGCUGACCAUCCUCCCAGGCACUUUAUCUCCUUAGGCUGGGGCAGGGGGAGAUACAUGCAGCUGAAAAUACAAGACCUGACAGCAAAGGAAAGGAAUGGGGACAAAGGCCCCCAAAGGUGGCUGCUGUGUGCCAGGACCUUGACGAGCAUCACUCAGCAGGCAUGACUGUGCCUGGCACUCAUGGUGUGUGGCCUGAGAGCCCAUGUCAGAAUACCCUGGGACAAGCACUGUGCUUGAUGCUUUUCCUGCAUGGUUGCCUGCAGUUCGUCGUCACAACAGCCCCGUGAGGAAACGGCUGGGACUCUCUCCUUUUACCGCUGUGAGCUCUUCAAGAAAGAACAGAAAGAACAAAAGAAAGAACCCCAAGACCUAGCAUGCAGUGGCCGCUCAGUUGAUGACUUUGGAGGCCCCUUCUCCUCACCUUUCUUCAGCAGUUCGGCAGCGGCCAAGGCCUCGUGCAGGGUCACCCCAGCCCCGAUAACGGUCACCUGGUCAUCCUUGCUCUUCAGGAUCACCUGGGGGUGACACAGAGGGUGAGUGAGGCUCAGGGCCCUGGGGCAGGGUGUGCCCUGACUGCUGGGAGUCACAGCAGGGAGGGUCCAGGCAGCUCUGUGGGCUCCUGGGGCAUGCGAGGCACUGACCUUGGCUUGUCCGACCUGGAAGUCCUCAUUGUUGUUAUAGAUGAUGGCAUUUUCUGGGCGGCUGGUCCGGAUGAAGCAGAUACCCUGAGACCGAAACAGAUAAACUGAGGAUACAGGAUGUGGCACACCCAACCUCAGAGACGAGGUCUUUCUAGAGAGGCCAUCCCUUCCCAUGGGAGUGUUAGUUACUGCAUCCUGGCUACUCCAGCAGGGAAAAGGGCCUUGCUUGCCCUCUGCUGCCCGUACCCCACUUGAACACUCUGAGAACUGCCCACCACCUUGCAGCCCCAGACCGAAGGCAACUUUCCACCAGGUAGACUGGCUGCAGGUGGGCUACUCCCACAGACUGCACCAGGCAGAGGGGCAGGAACCACGCGCACUGGGUCUGUGGCAUGCAGCUCCGGGCCUGGACCACAGGACUCAGCUCAUCCUUGCCUGUCUUGGAGAACCCAACUCAGGAGGGUGGAGAGGUGUAAACCGCCGGACUGGCCAGGGCUGCCAGGAUCCUCAGCAGAGACAGACUGUGGCAAUCAGUUGACAAUGUCUGCCACGUGGCAGUAAGUGGGGCGUGUAUUUCAUUUUUUCUUGUCUAACUUCCACAAGCUACACAAACACCAGGGGCAAGGUCAGGAAACACCCCCUGGGGCAGCAAGUGACCAGCUCUGGCCUCCUCUUCUGUUUCCCUUGGGAAGUGAUGGCUGCCAGCAGGAGAAAGAACAGCCAUGCAACCUACCUUCGUAUUGGCGGCUAGUUCCACUGCCUUCUCUGUAGCAACGCCAUCACUUGGGUAAAAGACAGUUGAUGUGGGGACUGACCGAAACAUAGCCAGAUCUUCCAGGGCCAUCUGGGAGGGCCCGUCUUCCCCUGGGGUGUGGGGGAAAGGAUAUGCAGAAAUAAGACCCGUACCCCCCCAUCCAUGGGCUGGAAUCCUGGCCCAUCCCCCUCCCAUACCUCCUGGUGCAAAAGUCAAGGGAGCUCCAGGUGUAAAUGCCCUGGCUAAACUCACCGAUGGAAACGCCGCAGUGGGAGCCGCAGAGGUUGAUGUUGCUCUCGGAGAUGGCAGCCAUGCGAAUCUGGUCAAAGGCCCGCGUGAAGAAGGCUGCAAAAGUGCUGCAGAAGGGCACCGUCCUGUUGCGGGUGGCACAGCCCACCGCAAUGCUCACCUGGGGGCAGGUGGGACAGGGUCAGCCCAAAGGGGCAGGCAGAGGGUGGUCAGGGAGCCUAGGACCCCUUUUGUGGAGAAAGCCACAAUUUGUAUAUAGAUUGUCCAUCCUUUCUGGGCUUCUGAAUAUGUCCCCCACCACCUUCUUCUGCAGAGACUGGUCCUCCCAACCCCUCCCUGGGGUCCGAGGGCAGCAGCCUCAUGCCUGCUGAGGCUCCAGGCCCCAAAUCACUCAUCCAGAAGCAGCACUGAGUACAGUCAUCAGUUCCAAACCAGCUGCCCUUCAAGGCUCCAAAAUAUGCCAGCCAACACAAGGCCUCUUUCCCUAGUACCUGGGACCUCCCCAGCCCCACGCCCUGCAGAGCAGUCUCUGGAAAUCACAGAGAGAAUUCUAGGUCCAGUUGGAAGAACUCUGGAGAUCUGAGUGCCCUCCAGAGAGAGGAAGCUCCCUGUCCCUAGGGGCCUGCAAGCCAGGCUGGGCUCCUGGACCACCAGGAGGGGAUAUUUUGAAAAAAUGGACAAAACAUUGUUCCUUACUUCACAACCUCAGUUCCCGACAAGGGUCUGCUUCCCCAAAUGGGUACAUGUCAGGGGCCCAGAGUUCCUCAUCUCUGCAUCCCUCAGGGUGGCAGGGCCCAGAGCCGUGUGCAUUACAGGUGCUCAACAGACUCUGGCUGCUAAACCCAUCACGGCCCCACCUACUGGCCGGGCCUGUCCUCCACCUGGAAGAGACCCCAUUCACCACCAGGCCUGGCCUGCACGCAGCUCCUCCUGAGAGCACCUGCAGUCCCAUUCGGCUCCCCCAUGUGCACACCUGUCCAGGACAUUUGCACCUGGGCAGAACCUCCCAAACUGUGGCUGUUCAAGGUCAGGGGUUAACGCUGGGUCCUGGCUUUUCUUAUAGUCUCCCUGGGCUGGCCUACAGCAGGCACCUGGCUCUGCCAACAUGGCUGCCCCGCACCCCUCAGACCACAGCCCUCAGCCUUGGGUGGACCUGUCCCUGCUGGCCCCAACACCUACCAUGUUCUGCUCGGCAAUGUAGCACUCGAUGAAGCGGUCCGGGUGCUCCUUUUUGAAGAUCUCCGAGAAGGUGGAAUUUUUGGUGUCCCCAUCCAGGGCGAUGAUGCGGUCACUGGCAUGGCCCAGCUUGGCCAGUGCCUGCCCGUAGGCCUUGCGGGUGGCUAUCUGUGAGGAAGAGAGUGGGAAGGCUCUGGACCCCUCUGAGGGUGAGUGCACACCUGCAGCCUGGAGCCCUGCUUUCAGAGAAGGAUUAAAACGGGGCCAAAAAUGGAAGCCCUGGAGCACAAGGUCCUGCGGAGGCUUUUAACUGCUGAAAGGUUGCCAACGACUACGGUCAAUGUCUUGGGAGCCCCUGGAGCCCCGGCCCCUAGCCUGGCUGUGAAAGGUAUAAGCUACAGAAGACACCCACCAGCCCCAACUUCCCACCUGCUGCACCAGGUCUAUGAACCUAUUCCACUUUGCAUGGGAACACAGAAGGCUUGGGAGUAAAGGCCAGGCACAGGCUGCAUGGAUGGGUUCCCUUGGGACAAAAACCUGGAGCGGGACAGCUCUGCCUAGCCUUUCCCAGGUCAGGUGGGGGUCCUGAGCUCAGGCCAAGGGUCCCUCGUGGACCAGCGAUGCAAGAACUUGGGAGUGAG